GCAGUCGUGGCCGAGUGGUUAAGGCGAUGGACCAGAAAUCCAUUGGGGUCUCCCCGCACAGGUUCUAAUCCUGUCGACUGCG
rnacentral:tRNA from 2 species